rnacentral:rRNA from 1 species
AUUGCGGAUGACAGUGUAUGUGAAAUAUGCGGAAGGGAUGAGGAAGACGAGCACCAUGCCAUUGUCGCAUGCACCAGAAGUUUGGCUUUACGCCACUCUAUGAGAGCCUUUUGGGAAAUCCCUAGAGAAUCUGAGUUCAAAAAUACAGGGGUAGACUGGCUGCAACUGCUGCUGAUCGCCCAACCUGAGGAGGUCAGAACCAAAGUAAUGUUGAUUUUGUGGCAAGCCUGGAGUUUAAGGAACAAUGCCAUACAUGGGGAUGGGAAAGAUACU